GGUGUUUCAACAAAAAUGUUGCAAUAUUGGUUAAGACCCAAUAACUCUGCACCUCUAACAUGUAGCAAUUUUUAGUGCAUUGGUUAGGGUCCUAACUUUUGUAUUCGGAUCAACUCUAAUUUUGGAAUUUGAAGUGCAAAAAGAGGCAUGUGGGUCAGCCAAUUAGGAAAAAGCAAAACAAGGCUAGAGUAUAAGGCACCUAGGGAGAGGGUUACGUAAGGAAAGGGAUGCUUCAUUUUCCUAAUGCGAAAGUUGUCACAUGAAAAAGUCUAUGUAAUUCUACCAAGAAAAAGGCUACCUUGGCCAGAGUGACAGCUGUCAAACCGUGGGCCAUUGAGGGCAUGGUUGUAGAGUGUGGUGGUUUGUUGCAAUAGUGGCUAAGCAAAGCCUUCUGCACUUCUACUGCCUAGGCAUUUUCAGUGCAUAGCUUAGCAUCACAAAAUUUUGAAUGUCUCAACACCCUAACUGAUGCACCUGGUUCUCUAACUAAUACUGUAACAGGAAAACAUGCUAGAAACAAAGAAUCACUAUUGGUAAUAAAGCAGUUCUUAGUCUUUCAAGAGAAGAUUACGAGAACAAGGGAUCAUCUCACUUCUCUACUUCAUCAUAGUAUUGACCAGUCUGGUCAUGGGGGUGAAUUUUAAAUCGCUACGAAACGUAACGAUUUGCGAUAUGAUUUGACAAAAUUUGAAAUUUAGAAAUUAAGAUAAUUCUUUAGUCAUCGUAUUUUAAAUGUUCCAUGGGUACUGGAUGGCUGAGAAUUUAAAUAGCAGUGGAUUUAAGAGGUCCAUGCGAGCAGGAUUCUAUACCCAUGUAGGAUAAGAUUUUUUUGGGUUGGCGAAUAAAUAAGGUGAAAAGGCAUUGGCUAAAGAAUAGCAGAAGCAAAGAGAAAGCUUCUGAAAUCUCUCAGGUCAAUGUAUCUAGAAAUUAAAGUAUAUAAACACUAUAAAUUUAUUUAAAAAUUAAAUUAUAUAAACACUAUAAAUUUUAAUUCCAACCAUACAUGUUAUUUUCUUUUAUUAACCAUCCGAGGGUUCUAAUUUUUUUCCUUUAUACUUUAUAAAUCAUAAUAGUUAAUUAUCCUAAUGAAAGUUUUGUUUUUAAUAUUUUGAAAUGUAUUUUCUAAUCCUAGUCUUAUCAACUUGGGUUUGUGUGUAGGUAGCAAACACUGAAUUACAAACUUGUAUUUGUAUUAAAUGAAUGAAUGAAUGAAUUAGGUAACAUAGGUACCUACAGUAAACCAAGUUACUACCAUCAUAUGAAUCUUAUUUUUCAACCUAGAUUCAAGCAUAUAUCUAGCUGUAAACUUCUUUCAAUUUCUUUCUUCAUGAACUCAUAUAAAAUGUCAGAAUAAAGUUGUCUAGCAUUUCUACUAGAAACUGUUGUAGCUAACCCUUGCAUUAUAUGCAAUCUCAACAUCCACAUUUAAAACUUUAAUGAUGAAAUUUCAUAGGCCAGCUUAAACAUUGACUCUGUUUGAAUAUUAUAGACUUCCCUGAAUUGACCCUCUCCAAGUUUACAUAUAUUUCUCUUUUUUGGGUAGAUGUAUAUGCUUCUUUCUGUUUGAAGUAGUGCUUUCUGUGGAAUUUUCUGGUCCUUAAGAUAGUUGCUUUCAUAUGGUAUCAAAUACUCUCUCUCCCCCACCCCCUCUUCAUCCCAUGGUUGCACAUUUUGGUGACUACGAGAAGGAUCACAACGAAUGUUCUUUAGACAGUAUAACAUAUCUUUUCAUCAAGCUAAGUGAGACCUCAGAAUCUAGAGAGGUCUUGAUAUUAAAACUAAGGUACGCGGAACCGACCAAACCGACGUACCGGUGGGGACCGGUACCGGUACCGAACUGGCCAACUGAAAAAAAAAAUCUGCGACGUGCGCGCGCGCGGACGCGUUUUAGUCACAAAGUAAAUGCCAUGCGGGGCCGCGUGGGCUCGCGCGCGGUGCCGCAUGGGCUCCCUGCCCCACGCGGGGAACCGUGCUCGGGAGCAGUUCCCUGCGCGUGGAAUUGCGCGCGGGUGCUAGUGAUUCCCUACUCGCGCCCGCGCGGGCAUGCUGCCCCGUGCGCGGAUGCUCUUUUUUUUUUCCUUUUCUUUUUUAUUCCUUCCCUUCUUCUUCCUCCUUUCCGAACUCUUUUUCUCUCCUUUCUUUUCCUCUCUUAUUCUCUCUUUCCCCUUCUCCCGCGAGCAAAGAAGGGGCCGGAAUCGCAAGCAAGACGGGUGAUCCUCGUCGGCCCGAGGGAGGAGGUUGACUCGAGGCCCGAUGCGACAGAUAGGCUUCUUUUCUUCUUCUUCUCCUCUUUCUCUUCUUCUUCCUCUUCUUACUCUUCUUUCUCUUCUUCCUCUUCUUUCUUUCUCUUUUUUUCUUUUCGUUCCUCUUCUUCUUCCCCGGUGCCAGUUCGAACCAGACUAGUUCACACCGGUACAGGCAAGGAGCCGGUUGGUUCCAACCUCAAAUGGGUCGGAACCGAAUUCUAUGGCUGUAUCGUCCGGUGCUGGCCGGUACCGGUACAGUACAGGCUGAACUAGUUGGUUCCGACCGGUUCAGCAUACCCUGAUUAAAACCUAUUUGCUACCAAUUUAUUCUAUUAUAAACCUCAUGACUACCAUCACAUCCUUCUUGGGACAUCUGUAACUCAUUUUAAUAUGCUCUACAAUUGGUGGUGGCUUGUUUGCAGCCAAGGGGUUUCCCCUAGAAGAGAUCUACUUAUCUAGCAAUCCUUUUUACGAGACCAUCUACUACCAGUUGGCUAGUAUUUACUUUUCUUGAUUUAUCUUGCACAAUUUCCAAGUGUUCCCUGAAUUGCCAAAUAUUCACCUGGAUUUCUCCAAUCUAAAGAAUCCAUUAUGAUCCAUGUAGUUGCUUUGAAGGAUUCAAAAAUCUGAACCACAAUACAAAUCUCAGCUUCCCCAGAAUCUUCAUUAUAGAACAAGCAGGACCAGACAAAACAUGAAGACUUAGAUCUGGAUUUGUUUUUAAUAUUAGAACUCCUUGCCUUCCUGGAUGAACAUAGGAAAAACUUCAUGAAAAGUACCACCAGAGAGUACCGAAGACUAUGCAGCUGGGUUUUUUUUUAGAGAAUACCAGCUACUCCAUAGGUCAAUUAACUGUUCACAUGUUGGGAUCAGAAUUUGAUUAUAAUUUAUCCAAAUGCUCUGACAUGAGCAUUCAUCUAGGCCAUUUUGGCUGCUUAUUCUUGGGUUUCUUUUAUGUUUUAGUUAUCUUCUUUAAUUGUGGUCCAUCUUUUUAUAGGCUAACAAAUAUUUGUAAUUAAAUGAAUAAACUAUUCAGUGAUUGAUAAGCCUGUGCUGUCAGUUUUCAAUUGCACGGCUAGUGGGAUGCCCUUUUCAUUGUAGCAUUGAAAGAACUGAAGGAUAGGCUGAUCAAUUCGCCCAAUUUAUACAAUUGACCAUCUGACCUGUUGGUGGUUGAUCAAUCAAGCAAGGCCAUGCCUAUGAUUGUCAAUCAUUUGAUCAAUUUUUGUCUAAAAAUAGGAAAUGGAUCAUCAGGUUAAACAAUUCUGAAGCACUUCUCUUUCUCAAUUUUUUUUUAAAAUUUCUCUCCUCUGUAUCUUCAGGAAUGACUUUUAUUGUUGUUUGUGGAAUUCAAGUUUAUUGACUCUGCAAGAUUAGGAUUUUUAAAGUUCACCAGUCUAGCUUUUCAUAUUUCUUUACUUUCCCCCUAAGAAUGCUCGAUUGCUUGGCCAAAUUUGGCACUUUAGCUAUGGCUUGAUGCUUGGCCAAAUUUGGCACUUCAACCUGCUAUGGAUCAUCUUUUACUAGGAAAGUGGAUGAGGGGACAUGCCUCAGGUUAAAGAUUCCCACAUAGGCCAUAGCAUGGAUGAUUCCUAUGAUACUAGAGCAAAACUCUGAGGAUGGACAUUGCACUUACUUAAUGAGAAGUAAAUUAUCUGGAAAAUACGCUUGUAGGGGAGGCAACCAUGGAGGCGCUCUGGCUUAGCAGUUAUUUCAUGGCUGCCAAUGAUAGGUCAUCAUCUACUACUCGCUGAAUCUAUUCACACAUUGGCUUGCUAUUGUUGGCUCCACCAGCUGAUUCAAGAAAUUCAUAUAUAUAUAGUUGUAGAACUCUAUAAAAUAUGAGAUAUAGCAAAAAGAAACAAAUUAUCGAGCUUGCGAUUAUUGAUUAUGUUAAACAUGAUGACUAUUUACUAUUUACCCACAAUAAGGAGCUUAUGCUGCAGAAAUAUGGGUUUUGAAGGGGUUCAAAGGUGUUUUCAAGGGUUUUCAAGGAUGUUUCAAUAAAACUGUUGCAAUAUUGGUUAAGACCCAAUAACUCUGCACCUCUAACAUGUAGCAAUUUUUAGUGCAUUGGUUACUCUAAUUUUGGAAUUCGAAGUGUAAAAAGAGGCAUGUGGGUCAGCCAAUUAGGAAAAAGCAAAACAAGGCUAGAGUAUAAGGCACCUAGGGAGAGGGUUACGUAAGGAAAGGGAUGCUUCAUUUUCCUAAUGUGAAAGCUGUCACAUGAAAAAGUCCAUGUAAUUCUACCAAGAAAAAGGCUACCUUGGCCAGAGUGACAGCUGUCACACCGUGGGCCAUUGAGGGCACGGUUGGAGAGGGUGGUGGUUUGUUGCAAUAGUGGUUAAGCAAAGCCUUCUGCACUUCUAAUGCCUGGGCAUUUUCAGUGCAUAGCUUAGCAUCACAAAAUUUUGAAUGUCUCAACACCCUAACUGAUGCACAUGGUUCUCUAACUAAUACUGUAACAGGAAAACAUGCCAGAAACAAAGAAUCACUAUUAGUAAUAAAGAAGUUCUUAGUCUUUCAAGGGAAGAUUACGAGAGCAAGGGAUCAUCUCACUUCUCUACUUCAUCAUAGUAUCGACCAGUCUGGUCACAAAACGUAAAUAUGAUUUGACAAAAUUAAGAAAUUUAGAAAUUAAGAUAAUUCUUUGGUCAUCGUAUUUUAAAUGUUCCAUGGGUACUGGAUGGCUGAGAAUUUAAAUAGCAUUGGAUUUAAGAGGUCCAUGCGAGCAGGAUUCUAUACCCAUGUAGGAUAAGAUUUUUUCGGGUUGGCGAAUAAAUAAGGUGAAAAGGCAUUGGCUAAAGAAUAGCAGAAGCAAAGAGAAAGUUUCUGAACAGGUCAUUUUAUCUAGAAAUUAAAUUAUAUAAACACUAUAAAUUAAUUUAGAAAUUAAAUUAUAUAAUCACUAUAAAUUAAUUUAGAAAUUAAAUUAUAUAAACACUAUAAAUUUUAGUUCCAACCAUACAUGUCAUUUUCUUUUAUUAACUAUCUGAGGGUUCUAUUUUUUUUCCUUUGUACUUUAUAAAUCAUAAUAGUUAAUUAUCCUAAUGAAAGUUUUGUUUUUAAUAUUUUGAAAUGUAUUUUCUAAUCCUAGUCUUAUCAAAUUGGGUUUGUUUGUUGGUAGCAAACACUGAAUUACAAACUUGUAUUUGUAUUAAAUGAAUGAAUGAAUUAGGUAACAUAGGUACCUACAGUAAACCAAGUCACUACCAUCAUAUGAGUCUUAUUUUUCAACCUAGAUUCAAGCAUAUAUCUAGCUGUAAACUUCUUUCAAUUUCUUUCUUCAUGAACUCAUAUAAAAUGUCAAAGAAUAAAGUUGUCUAGCAUUUCUACUAGAAACUGCUGUAGCUAACCCUUGCAUUAUAUGCAAUCUCAACAGGCCACAUUUAAAACUUUAAUGAUGAAAUUUCAUAGGCCACCUUAAACAUUGACUCUGCUUGAAUAUUAUAGACUUCCCUGAAUUGACCCUCUCCAAGUUUACAUAUGUUUCUCUUUUUUGGGUAGAUAUGUAUGCUUCUUUCUGUUUGAAGUAGUGCUUUCUGUGGAAUUUUCUGGUCCUUAAGAUAGUUGCUUUCAUAUGGUUUCAAAUACUCUCUCUCCCCCACCCCCUCUUCACCCCAUGGUUGCACAUUUUGGUGACUACGAGAAGGAUCACAACGAAUGUUCUUUAGACAGUAUAACAUAUCUAUUCAUCUAGCUAAGUGAGACCUCAGGAUCUAGAGAGGUCUUGAAUAUUAAAACCAAGGUAUGUGGAAUCCACCGAACUGACGUACCGGUGGGGACGGGUAUCGGUAGAAACCGGUAUCGAACUGGACAACCGUAAAAAAUAAAAAAAAAAACUGCGACGCGCGCGUUCGCGUUUUAGUCACAGAGUGGCAUUAAAUGCUCAUGCGGUGCUGCGUGGGCUCGCGCUCGCGCUCGGUGCCGCAUGGGCUCGCUGCCCCGCGCUGGGAACUGCAUGCGAGCGCGGUUCCCUGUGCGUGGAAUCACGCAUGGGCG
rnacentral:lncRNA from 1 species